AUUUUGUUGCUAAAUAGUGUCAUUCUGUCAUAUAUUAACUGUGGUUGUCAUAUCAUGGGUUUUGUGUGUUAAACAAAACCCAUUUUAUUUUAAAAUAAUUUAAAUCCUAAGCCCAUGUAGAUAAUAAUUUAGAAAUGACUCUUAUAUAUAUUGUUGAUACAUAGUUAUGUUUUUUUUUAUAAUACCUAAGAAAAAUGUCUUGAAAGAUUUUCAACGGGGUAUUUUCUGCUGUGCACAGCCUCCAAGAAUA
rnacentral:misc_RNA from 1 species